AUUGAACGCUGGCGGCAUGCCUUACACAUGCAAGUCGAACGGUAACAGGUCUUCGGAUGCUGACGAGUGGCGAACGGGUGAGUAAUACAUCGGAACGUGCCUAGUAGUGGGGGAUAACUACUCGAAAGAGUGGCUAAUACCGCAUGAGAUCUACGGAUGAAAGCAGGGGAUCGCAAGACCUUGUGCUACUAGAGCGGCCGAUGGCAGAUUAGGUAGUUGGUGGGAUAAAAGCUUACCAAGCCGACGAUCUGUAGCUGGUCUGAGAGGACGAUCAGCCACGCUGGGACUGGGAAACGGCCCAGACUCCUACGGGAGGCAGCAGUGGGGAAUUUUGGACAAUGGGCGCAAGCCUGAUCCAGCAAUGCCGCGUGCAGGAUGAAGGCCUUCGGGUUGUAAACUGCUUUUGUACGGAACGAAAAGCCCCGGGUUAAUACCCUGGGGUCAUGACGGUACCGUAAGAAUAAGCACCGGCUAACUACGUGCCAGCAGCCGCGGUAA
rnacentral:rRNA from 1 species